UCUCUUUUUCUCCCACAGAGACCCAAGAUCCCCUUUUCUUCAGCAGAUACAGAUCGAAACCCUAACUUCGAUUUUUAGAAUCUCUUCUCCUCAUUCUUUGUUGAACCCUAAUGAUGUUGUUUGUUUUGUAACAUUGAGGGCCAGUAAAACCCCAACGAUACUGUAUUUGUAUGUUGAUUCUACUUUUUAAUUUCAGAUUUCUUAGUAUUCCCAGAGAUCAAAACCCAAGAAGUGGUGGUGCUUAUGUUGGUCCUGGAGGUGGUAGUGCAAAGGGAUGCUAUAGAGAAUUGAAGGGUUGAGGAUCACCAAUUUAUAAAGUUGAUAGAAAGCUAUGUAAAGUUGGCUUUCGGCAAGUUUUUGUUGGUGGUCGUGUGUCAGGAGGUAGUGAAAGAGCAAAGGUUUGGGGCCGUAGAGGUGGCUUUAAAAUUUGUUCAUAGAAGCAGUAAAGGUUGCGAUUAUGGUCCUCCAUAUGAGUGGCAAGUUUAUAUCACUCUUGGUGGCAGUCAUGGAGUUUCGAGAGUACACUAUAAAGCAGUUCAAUCUUCCUGUCACCAGGGGAUUAUGUAUACAGGUACUUGCUAAUGCACAAUCUAAAGUGAAGGAUAACAAUAAGAUGUCUUAUGGUUAUUACUGUAUCACAAAAACAAGUUGUUGUAAUUGAUGAUGGAGCUGCUAAAAGAAGUGUAUCAAAGCCUGUUCAGAAGAAGGAAGUUGUGAAACCCAAGCAAGAGGAAUUAAUUGAAAUUAGUCCAGAUACAAAAGAAGGUUAAGAAGGAAAAUCCCCAGAAAGCACCAAGGAAGAAAGUUCAAACCUUAAUGCAGUUUUAUCUGCUCAUAACAAGUUUGUGGACAUUGAUGGAGGAGAUGAUGAUAAUCAGUUGGAAGUUGUGGAGUAUGUCGUGGAUUUGUACGACUGUUACAAGCUCGCAGAGGUGGAAAGUGCCAGGAAAGCAGCAAAAGUAGCUGCGAUAGGAACUGCUAUUGGAGCACUUCACUUGGGUGAAACUUCCUGGAGAUAUUUAAAGAGUCCUCAUGAAAAGAUGAUGAACUGUUAAGGAUUAUCCAUGCCUUCAAAGAAGCAGAAUCAAAGCAUUCGUUUCAUGAGAAGAGACUACCGGAUAUUGAAAACAAGAUUUUCUUUGCAGCUCAAGGCUAGAGUGAAGUAUAUGCAGAUAUGCAAAGGUUUGCAGGAUUUCGGCUACGCCUACAUUGGCGGAAUUUAUUCCUUUGUGAGAACUGGGACGUUGAAGUUGAUUUCUUUUAGAUGUUUGCAGGUAGGUCUCAUCUUGCGAUGGAAUUCGAGAAUUGUACAUGGAUUUUACCUUGCUGCUGGUGAGCUUUUGGAUGGGGACAUAUUUAUAGUCAUUUAGAUUCAGUGUCUUAAUUCAGACUUGAUUAUUUAGUUUCUUUUCGGAUAUUGAAACCAAGUGUAAACCGAUUUCAGUUAUGAGUUCUGCAACCAGUACAGUGAUUUUUAUUUAAUAAGUUUUAUUUUUGGGUAA